UUCAUGAUUAGGGAUAAAAAGCAUGAGGCAUAUGUAGUACAUAUUCAUAUUCUGGGUCAUUCCAUGCACUGGCUAACAGAGAGUUGACAGUAUUGUUUGUCUUGCGGUCUAAUGGAACUUUUGUUCCAGUGCCAUCCCCCUCACCCCUAUCUCUCACCACUUGAGUAUAUGAGUUUCUCUCUGAUCACUGGAGAUUCCAUCGUUAGUGCUGAGGCAGUAUGGGAUCACGUCACCAUGGCCAACCGGGAGUUGGCAUUUAAAGCUGGCGACGUCAUCAAAGUCUUGGAUGCUUCCAACAAGGAUUGGUGGUGGGGCCAGAUCGACGAUGAGGAGGGAUGGUUUCCUGCCAGCUUUGUGAGGCUCUGGGUGAACCAGGAGGAUGAGGUGGAGGAGGGGCCCAGCGAUGUGCAGAACGGACACCUGGACCCCAAUUCAGACUGCCUCUGUCUGGGGCGGCCACUACAGAACCGGGACCAGAUGCGGGCCAAUGUCAUCAAUGAGAUAAUGAGCACUGAGCGUCACUACAUCAAGCACCUCAAGGAUAUUU
rnacentral:sRNA from 1 species